AGGUCACUGCUAUCGGGGUUCGAUUAAGCCAUGCGAGUCGAGAGGGUUCGGCCCUCGGCGUACUGCUCAGUAACACGUGGAUAACCUGCCCUAGGGAAGGGGAUAACCCCGGGAAACUGGGGAUAAUACCCUAUAGAUUACAGAUGCUGGAGUGCCCUGUAAUCCAAAGUUCCGACGCCCUAGGAUGGAUCUGCGGCCGAUUAGGUUGUUGUUGGGGUAAUGGCCCAACAAGCCCGUAAUCGGUACGGGUUGUGGGAGCAAGAGCCCGGAGUUGGAUUCUGAGUCACGAAUCCAGGCCCUACGGGGCGCAGCAGGCGCGAAAACUUUACAAUGCGGGCAACCGUGAUAAGGGAACCUCGAGUGCCUGUAAAUGCAGGCUGUUCAGGUGCCUAAAACACACCUGAAGAAAGGGCCGGGCAAGACCGGUGCCAGCCGCCGCGGUAAUACCGGCGGCUCGAGUGGUGGCCGCUUUUAUUGGGCUUAAAGCGUUCGUAGCUGGGUUGUUAAGUCUCUUGGGAAAUCUGGCGGCUUAACCGUCAGGCGUCUAAGGGAUACUGGCAAUCUUGGAACCGGGAGAGGUGAGGGGUACUUCGGGGGUAGGAGUGAAAUCCUGUAAUCCUCGAGGGACCACCUGUGGCGAAAGCGCCUCACCAAAAC
rnacentral:rRNA from 1 species